GGUACACGCUGUGACUAGCAUAUCAAUAAGCGGAGGAAAAGAAACUAACAAGGAUUCCCUCAGUAACGGCGAGUGAGGCGGGAAGAGCUCAAAUUUGAAAUCUUGAAAGGUCACCUUUCACGAAUUGUAGUUUAAAGAAGUGUUUUCUGUUACGAUCGUAAUAUAAGUUCUUUGGAAUAGGACAUCACAGAGGGUGAGAAUCCCGUCUAUGAUUGCGAUUUGUAGCUUUGUGAUACACUUUCAAAGAGUCGGGUUGUUUGGGAAUGCAGCCCAAAACGGGAGGUAAAUUUCUUCUAAGGCUAAAUAUUGGCGAGAGACCGAUAGCGAACAAGUACCGUGAGGGAAAGAUGAAAAGAACUUUGAAAAGAGAGUUAAACUAGUACGUGAAAUUGUCAAAAGGGAAGCGUUUGACACCAGUGUUGUUUUCUCGAAAAUCAAUUAAAAAUGGCUCGAUUUUGUAUUGCUGAGACCUUAAAAGCUCACUGUACAUUUUUCGUGUCUUUUUUAAUGCACUUUUCGUUUAACAAGUCAACAUCAGUUUCUUUUGUUGUAAAAGGGUCAUUGGAAGGUGGCUUUCUUUUCGGAGAAAGUGUUUAUAGCCUUUGGCCUCUGCAAUCGGAGAGACUGAGGUCUGCAGCGUAGACUCUUCGGGGUUAGAUACAUUUGUGCUAAGUUAUAGCUUUUUAUAGACAACUUGUUGACUAUAAUUAGUCUUGUAGCUUACUCGCUUAUGCUAUUUUACCUACGCUUAGGAUGUUGAGUAGCGACAUACGCAC
rnacentral:rRNA from 1 species